CUGGUGGCGAGUGGCGAACGGGUGAGUAAUGCAUCGGAACGUACCGAGUAAUGGGGGAUAACUGUCCGAAAGGAUGGCUAAUACCGCAUACGCCCUGAGGGGAAAGCGGGGAUCGAAAGACCUCGCGUAUUGAGCGGCCGAUGUUGGAUUAGCUAGUUGGUGGGGUAAAGGCCUACCAAGGCGACGAUCCAUAGCGGGUCUGAGAGGAUGAUCCGCCACAUUGGGACUGAGACACGGCCCAA
rnacentral:rRNA from 1 species